AUUGAACGCUGGCGGCAGGCCUAACACAUGCAAGUCGAACGGUAACAGGGAUCAGCUUGCUGAUUCGCUGACGAGUGGCGGACGGGUGAGUAAUGUCUGGGAAACUGCCUGAUGGAGGGGGAUAACUACUGGAAACGGUAGCUAAUACCGCAUAACGUCGCAAGCCCAAAGAGGGGGACCUUCGGGCCUCUUGCCAUCGGAUGUGCCCAGAUGGGAUUAGCUAGUAGGUGGGGUAACGGCUCACCUAGGCGACGAUCCCUAGCUGGUCUGAGAGGAUGACCGGCCACACUGGAACUGAGACACGGUCCAGACUCCUACGGGAGGCAGCAGUGGGGAAUAUUGCACAAUGGGCGCAAGCCUGAUGCAGCCAUGCCGCGUGUAUGAAGAAGGCCUUCGGGUUGUAAAGUACUUUCAGCGGGGAGGAAGGGAGUAAAGUUAAUACCUUUGCUCAUUGACGUUACCCGCAGAAGAAGCACCGGCUAACUCCGUG
rnacentral:rRNA from 1 species